CAGCGGCCCUAGUGGUGAUCGUUAUUAUUGGGCCUAAAGCGUCCGUAGCCGGUUCGGUAAAUCUCUGGGUAAAUCGUUGGGCUUAACUCAACGAAUUCUGGGGAGACUGCCGAACUUGGGACCGGGAGAGGUCGGAGGUACUCCAGGGGUAGGGGUGAAAUCCUGUAAUCCUCGGGGGACCACCGGUGGCGAAAGCGUCCGACCAGAACGGGUCCGACAGUGAGGGACGAAAGCCAGGGGAGCAAACCGGAUUAGAGACCCGUGUAGUCC
rnacentral:rRNA from 1 species